GACUACAUGAAGCCGGAAUCGCUAGUAAUCGCGGAUCAGAAUGCCGCGGUGAAUACGUUCCCGGGUCUUGUACACACCGCCCGUCACACCAUGGGAGUUGGAAAUGCCCGAAGUCAGUGGCCCAACCGGAAGGGGGGAGCUGCCGAAGGCAGGUUCGAUGACUGGGGUGAAGUCGUAACAAGGUAAC
rnacentral:rRNA from 1 species